UACGGAGGGUGCGAGCGUUGUCCGGAAUCACUGGGCGUAAAGGGCGCGUAGGCGGCCUGAUAAGUAGGGGGUGAAAUCCUGCGGCUUAACCGCAGGGCUGCCUUCUAAACUGGCAGGCUGGAGCACAGUAGAGGCAGGUGGAAUUCCCGGUGUAGCGGUGGAAUGCGUAGAGAUCGGGAAGAACAUCAGUGGCGAAGGCGGCCUGCUGGGCUGUUGCUGACGCUGAGGCGCGACAGCGUGGGGAGCAAACAGG
rnacentral:rRNA from 1 species